rnacentral:tRNA from 1 species
GGGGCUGUGGCUCAGUGGAAGAGUGCCUGCUUUGCAUGCUGAAGGUCCUGGGUUCAGUCCUCAGCCUCUCUU